rnacentral:rRNA from 1 species
AGAGUUUGAUCAUGGCUCAGGAUGAACGCUAGCGGGAGGCCUAACACGUGCAAGCCGAGCGGUAGAGAUUCUUCGGAAUCUUGAGAGCGGCGUACGGGUGCGGAACACGUGUGCAACCUACCUUUAUCUGGAGGAUAGCCUUUCGAAAGGAAGAUUAAUACUCCAUAAUAUAUUGAUUGGCAACAAUUGAUAUUGAAAGCUCCGGCGGAUAGAGAUGGGCACGCGCAAGAUUAGUUAGUUGGUGAGGUAACGGCUCACCAAGACGAUGAUCUUUAGGGGCCUGAGAGGGUGAUCCCCCACACUGGUACUGAGACACGGACCAGACUCCUACGGGAGGCAGCAGUGAGGAAUAUUGGUCAAUGGGUGCAAGCCUGAACCAGCCAUCCCGCGUGAAGGACGACUGCCCUAUGGGUUGUAAACUUCUUUUGUAUAGGGAUAAACCUACCCUCGUGAGGGUAGCUGAAGGUACUAUACGAAUAAGCACCGGCUAACUCCGUG